rnacentral:misc_RNA from 1 species
GACUUAUAUGUUGGUAAGUAUUUCAUUAUUUAGGAUUUGAAUUUUCCUAUUGAAAUAUUAUGUUGCUAUUUAUCCAUGAUAACAAUUAAUGUUUAUUUUUCAAGGUUGUUGGUCAUUAACUUAGUUACAUAGAUAACAAUAGCAUUAGGCUACUACUGCCUAUAUCGUACCUAUAUUUUGAGUUUUCUGUGGAGAACGAAUGGCUCAAGUUAAUGAAGCUAAUGAAAUAUCAAAAACCUACCAAAAAUAAAAAUGCCAUUUAUGUCUGCCUGUCACCACAUAGAAAGCUUUCCGAAAGACACAACUCCUUGGUGAACCUAUUGUACUGCAUCAUAAAAGCGGAAGAAGGAGGUGAAAUCAACUUGCCGACUGUUUAGCUGUGGUAAAAGCUAUCAAAUCCAUGAAUCCAGGAACCUAUUCAAUUCUCAAGAACAUCUCUGUCAUAAUGUGGUCGGACCCGUUCACCAAGGAAGGCACAUAGAAGACUGGCUUAUGAUGGCGAAAGACUUUUGAAGGCGGUUACCUUGAUUGGGAUCAUAUCUAUUAAACCUUCGAAUCCUGCACUCAAAAGUAAAUGUGAUACCAUUCAAAUGGAAUAAGAUUGAUUUGAAUUGGAAUUUGUUAUUCCUGUAUCAUAGUGCAUUUUUCUACUAGUUACCCUACGUAUUGUACAUUAUUGUAAUAAAGCACUAGCUGUUCCAUAGUAGAAGUCUUUGAAAUAAAAGGUUUCUUUUUCAAGUUA